GCGUGACGGCGCGAGCAGGUGCGAAAGCAGGUCAUAGUGAUCCGGUGGUUCUGAAUGGAAGGGCCAUCGCUCAACGGAUAAAAGGUACUCCGGGGAUAACAGGCUGAUACCGCCCAAGAGUUCAUAUCGACGGCGGUGUUUGGCACCUCGAUGUCGGCUCAUCACAUCCUGGGGCUGAAGUAGGUCCCAAGGGUAUGGCUGUUCGCCAUUUAAAGUGGUACGCGAGCUGGGUUUAGAACGUCGUGAGACAGUUCGGUCCCUAUCUGCCGUGGGCGCUGGAGAACUGAGGGGGGCUGCUCCUAGUACGAGAGGACCGGAGUGGACGCAUCACUGGUGUUCGGGUUGUCAUGCCAAUGGCACUGCCCGGUAGCUAAAUGCGGAAGAGAUAAGUGCUGAAAGCAUCUAAGCACGAAACUUGCCCCGAGAUGAGUUCUCCCUGAGACUUUAAGUCUCCUGAAGGAACGUUGAAGACGACGACGUUGAUAGGCCGGGUGUGUAAGCGCAGCGAUGCGUUGAGCUAACCGGUACUAAUG
rnacentral:rRNA from 1 species